rnacentral:rRNA from 1 species
AUUGAACGCUGGCGGCAGGCCUAACACAUGCAAGUCGAGCGGAGCGGCGGACGGGGGAGUAAGGCCUAGGAAUCUGCCUGGUAGUGGGGGAUAACGUCCGGAAACGGGCGCUAAUACCGCAUACUAUCUGAUGAGGCUAGGUCGGAUUGGCUAGAUGGUGUGGUAAAGGCCUACCAAGGCGACGAUCCGUACCUGGUCUGAGAGGGUGAGCAGGCACACUGGAACUGUGACACGGUCCAGACUCCUACGGGAGGCAGCAGUGGGGAAUAUUGGACAAUGGGCGAAAGCCUGAUGCAGCCAUGCCGCGUGUGUGAAGAAGGUCUUCGGAUUUUAAAGCACUGUAAGUUGGGAGGCGUUACCAACAGAAUAAGCACCGGCUAACUUCGUGCCAGCAGCCGCGGUAAUAC